rnacentral:lncRNA from 1 species
AAGUUACCAGGAGAGGACUCUAAGGUCACACCAGCCCCAGAUGGUCUUGACAAAUGUGAACAGUGAGCAUGAAAAGCAGGAAAUGCAGGAAAACAAGACAGAGGAAAUGGUAGAUCCAUUUGUAUCUUUUAAGGAGACAUGGUGAAAAAAAAUCCAUGAUAAGCUGUAAACCUGAAGAUGAAUCAUGAAAAAAUAAUUGCCAUGAAACUGUAGUAAAU